rnacentral:rRNA from 1 species
GACGAACGCUGGCGGCGUGCUUAACACAUGCAAGUCGAACGGUGAAGGGACUGGUUUUGCUGGUCCUGGAUGAGUGGCGAACGGGUGAGUAACACGUGAGUAACCUGCCCCCUUCUUCUGGAUAACCGCAUGAAAGUGUGGCUAAUACGGGAUAUUCUGGGUCUGUCGCAUGGUGGGCCUGGGAAAGAUUGCGCCUUUUUUGGUGUUUUUGGUGGGGGAUGGGCUCGCGGCCUAUCAGCCUGUUGGUGGGGUGAUGGCCUACCAAGGCGGUGACGGGUAGCCGGCCUGAGGGGGUGGACGGUCACACUGGGACUGAGGCACGGCCCAGACUCCUGCGGGGGGCAGCAGUGGGGAAUAUUGCACAAUGGGCGCAAGCCUGAUGCAGCGACGCCGCGUGAGGGAUGGAGGCCUUCGGGUUGUGAACCUCUUUCGCCAGUGAAGCAGGCCUGCCUCUUUUUGUGGGUGGGUUGACGGUAGCUGGAUAAGAAGCGCCGGCUAACUACGUG